GGCUGAGUAGUUCAAUGGAUAGAACGUCGGUUUCCUAAACCGUAAAUUUGGGUUCGAUUCCCAGCUCGGCUA
rnacentral:tRNA from 1 species